rnacentral:rRNA from 1 species
CCUACGGGAGGCUGCAGUGGGGGAUAUUGCACAAUGGGGGAAACCCUGAUGCAGCGACGCCGCGUGAGCGAUGAAGUAUUUCGGUAUGUAAAGCUCUAUCAGCAGGGAAGAAAAUGACGGUACCUGACUAUGAAGCCCCGGCUAACUACGUGCCAGCAGCCGCGGUAAUACGUAGGGGGCAAGCGUUAUCCGGAUGUACUGGGUGUAAAGCGAGCGUAGACGGCUGUGCAAGUCUGAUGUGAAAGGCAAGGGCUCAACCCUUGGACUGCUUGGGAAACUGGGCUGCUGGAGUGUCGGAGAGGGGGGUAGAAUUCCAGGGAGAGCGGUGAAAUGGGAAGAGAUCUGGAGGAACACGAGGGGGGAGGGCGGCUCCCGGGACGAAGACUGACGUGCAGGCGAGAAAGCGUGGGGAGCAAACAGGAGGAGAGACCCGUGUAGUC